UUCAUCAAGUUGGAGAAGGAA
rnacentral:piRNA from 1 species